UAAACGCUGAAGGCAUCUAAGCGUGAAACUCACCUCAAGAUGAGAUAUCCCUCCAGACUUGAUCUGGUAAGGUCACUUGUAGACUACGAGUUUGAUAGGUCGAAGGUGGAAGUGCAGUAAUGUAUGUAGCUGAUCGAUACUAAUAGACCGAGGGCUUGAACUU
rnacentral:rRNA from 1 species